GUCACGCCCUAAACGAUGUCAACUGGUUGUUGGACGGCUUGCUGUUCAGUAACGAAGCUAACGCGUGAAGUUUACCGCCUGGGGAGUACGGCCGCAAGGUUGAAACUCAAAGGAAUUGACGGGACCCGCACAAGCGGUGGAUGAUGUGGUUUAAUUCGAUGCAACGCGAAAACCUUACCUACCCUUGACAUGUCAAGAAUCUUGCAGAGAUGUUAGAGUGCUCGAAAGAGAACUUGAACACAGGUGCUGCAUGGCCGUCGU
rnacentral:rRNA from 1 species